rnacentral:rRNA from 1 species
AAAUGCGGGAAGCAGGGUGAUCCUAUGCUGCCAAGAAAAUCUUCUAGCGAGGUUCGAGCCGCCCGUACCCCAAACCGACUCAGGUGGUUAGGUAGAGAAUACCAAGGCGAUCGAGUGAAUCGUGGUUAAGGAAUUCGGCAAAAUGCCCCCGUAACUUCGGGAGAAGGGGGGCCCAGACUCUGAAGUCACUUGCUGACUAGGGGAAAGGGCCGCAGAGACCAGGGAGAAGCGACUGUUUACUAAAAACACAGGUCCGUGCGAAGUCGCAAGACGAUGUAUACGGACUGACGCCUGCCCGGUGCUGGAAGGUUAAGAGGACGGGUUAGAUCUUCGGGUCGAAGCUCAGAAUUUAAGCCCCAGUAAACGGCGGUGGUAACUAUAACCAUCCUAAGGUAGCGAAAUUCCUUGUCGGGUAAGUUCCGACCUGCACGAAUGGCGUAACGACUUCUCCACUGUCUCAACCGCGAACUCGGCGAAAUUGCACUACGAGUAAAGAUGCUCGUUACGCGCAGCAGGACGGAAAGACCCCGGGACCUUCACUAUAGCUUGGUAUUGGUGUUCGGGACGGCUUGUGUAGCAUAGGUGGGAGACUUUGAAGCCGGCACGCCAGUGUCGGUGGAGUCAACGUUGAAAUACCACUCUGGUCGUUCUGGAUGUCUAACCUCGGUCCGUGAUCCGGAUCAGGGACAGUGCCUGGUGGGUAGUUUAACUGGGGCGGUUGCCUCCUAAAAGGUAACGGAGGCGCUCAAAGGUUCCCUCAGCCUGGUUGGCAAUCAGGUGUCGAGUGUAAGUGCACAAGGGAGCUUGACUGCGAGAGAGACAUCUCGAGCAGGGACGAAAGUCGGAACUAGUGACCCGGCGGUGGCUUGUGGAAGCGCCGUCGCUCAACGGAUAAAAGGUACCCCGGGGAUAACAGGCUGAUCUUGCCCAAGAGUCCAUAUCGACGGCAUGGUUUGGCACCUCGAUGUCGGCUCGUCGCAUCCUGGGGGUGGAGUCGCUCCCAAGGGUUGGGCUGUUCGCCCAUUAAAGCGGUACGCGAGCUGGGUUUAGAACGUCGUGAGACAGUUCGGUCCCUAUCCGCUGUGCGCGUAGGAAACUUGAGAAAGGCUGACCCUAGUACGAGAGGACCGGGUUGGACGAACCUCUGGUGUGUCAGUUGUUCUGCCAAGAGCACCGCUGAUUAGCUACGUUCGGAAGUGAUAACCGCUGAAGGCAUCUAAGCGGGAAGCACGUUUCAAGAUGAGGUUUCCAUGGGGCUUGCCCCGAGAGGCUCCCGGCUAGACUACCGGGUUGAUAAGCCAGACGUGGAAGUGCAGUAAUGCAUGUAGCUGACUGGUACUAAUAAGCCGAUAACUUGAC